UGGGGAAUAUUGCACAAUGGGCGAAAGCCUGAUGCAGCGACGCCGCGUGAGGGAUGACGGCCUUCGGGUUGUAAACCUCUUUCAGUAGGGACGAAGCGCAAGUGACGGUACCUGCAGAAGAAGCACCGGCUAACUACGUGCCAGCAGCCGCGGUAAUACGUAGGGUGCGAGCGUUGUCCGGAAUUACUGGGCGUAAAGAGCUCGUAGGCGGUUUGUCACGUCGUCUGUGAAAUCCUAGGGCUUAACCCUGGACGUGCAGGCGAUACGGGCUGACUUGAGUACUACAGGGGAGACUGGAAUUUCAGGUGUAGCGGUGGAAUGCACAGAUAUCAGGAAGAACACCGAUGGCGAAGGCAGGUCUCUGGGUAGUAACUGACGCUGAGGAGCGAAAGCAUGGGUAGCGAACAGG
rnacentral:rRNA from 1 species